GACAGAGGGUGCAAGCGUUGUUCGGAAUUAUUGGGCGUAAAGCGCACGUAGGCGGCUUGUUAAGCUGGAUGUGAAAUCCCUGGGCUCAACCCAGGAAGUGCAUCCAGAACUGGCAGGCUUGAAUCCUGGAGGGGGUGGUGGAAUUCCCGGUGUAGAGGUGAAAUUCGUAGAUAUCGGGAGGAACACCAGUGGCGAAGGCGACCACCUGGACAGAGAUUGACGCUGAGGUGCGAAAGCGUGGGUAGCAAACAGG
rnacentral:rRNA from 1 species